UGGUUCCUUACCUGUGCAGGGAAAAUGGAU
rnacentral:piRNA from 1 species